GACGAACGCUGGCGGCGUGCUUAACACAUGCAAGUCGAGCGGACCUUCGGGUCAGCGGCGAACGGGUGAGAAACACGUGGGCAACCUGCCCCAGGCUCUGGAAUAACUCCGGGAAACCGGGGCUAAUGCCGGAUAUUCACAUCUUCGGGCAUCUGGGGGUGUGGAAAGAUUUAUCGGCCUGGGAUGGGCCCGCGGCCUAUCAGCUUGUUGGUGGGGUUACGGCCUACCAAGGCGACGACGGGUAGCCGGCCUGAGAGGGCGACCGGCCACACUGGGACUGAGACACGGCCCAGACUCCUACGGGAGGCAGCAGUGGGGAAUAUUGCGCAAUGGGCGAAAGCCUGACGCAGCGACGCCGCGUGAGGGAUGACGGCCUUCGGGUUGUAAACCUCUUUCAGCAGGGACGAAGCGCAAGUGACGGUACCUGCAGAAGAAGCACCGGCCAACUACGUGCCAGCCGCCGCAGUAAUAC
rnacentral:rRNA from 1 species